CCCGCCGGUUUCGCCUCAAGGCCGUGCAAACCAGCAAAGCCUGCAAUGUGCCUUCCCUCUACACCUGCGUGGUGCCCGUGGAUGGCACCACCCAGGCAGCCCUGCCCGCCGCCGUGGAGGUGUGCAGCGCAGGUACGGCCCUGGGGGCCCUCCUGAGCCCUCCCAGCUGAGUCCCCAUGCUUUGCAUGUUGCCACGUUGCCGGUGCGAGGCCACCUGCCUGCACAGCUCAGCCUCCCUGUCCCAGGAGGCCUGGGAGGCAGUGUGCUGGAGAGGGGGAAGGCAUUGAGGGACCCGAGCGCAGCCCAGGGCUGAGAUCAUGUGCGGUUCCUUGCAGCCAGCUCUGCCAGCCACCAGCGAGCGGCUCCAGCAGAGAGCUGUUGCCACAGGAGUUACUCGGCAGGUUUGGCCCGGCAGCAGGACGCGGAGCAGGACGAGGCGCUCAUCGCUGCAGGUACCAAUUGGGGCUUACGCUCCCACUCAGCCUCCCCAGGGACCUGCCUGAGCAAACGGCUCCUUGAAGACCCCAGCGACCCUGGGCACUGCGGAGCUGUCAGCUCACGGCUUUGUAGGGCUUGGUCCCCAGCUCAGGCAGUGGCGAGCCACGCGGGUCCCAGGAGCCCCAGUGCCCUCAGUGCUUAUUCUGUUGCAGAGCGAGAUGAGAUCCCUGCGUCUCCAGCUAGUGUAUCCUCUGCGACCUCUGGCUGGGAAAAGCAGAACAGCCCUAAUGGGCGGCCAUCUAGCCCCUCCAUCGCCUCCAUGGGCUCCCAGAAAUCCACGGAGAGCAUUGCUGGCUCCAGGUGAGGCUGUCCUGCUCCAGGGUCCAGGGCCGAGGGGGUGCAGAGGCCAAAGAGAGCAGACUGGGGGGCAAUGUCACUUCCUGGGCGUGGGCCAGCGCGCCGGCUCCCAUGCUGUAAGAGGGUUGGUGCUCCAGCAUAGUCCUUGCUGUAGCCCAGCCUGGCCAGGGCCCAGCUGCCUCUCUGGAAAAGCCAGGUCACAGAGCCAGCAGGGCUGAGCCAAGCAGGGCCCCUUCCCUCCUGCCCCCCCCAUAAUGAGCCUGUUUGCCCGGCCAGGUUUAGCCUGAGCAGACGCAGGGGGCCCAGCCUGGCACUGCGCCCACACUGCCUCAGCCCGGAAAGUGAGCACGCCAGCAGCAACGCCAGCCACGAAUA
rnacentral:lncRNA from 1 species